CUACAAUCAAAAAUAAAUCGCGUGCUAUAAGUCGCAAAAUCACUUUUGGUUCCGACACUCGAAGAAGAAACUCAGCCAACUGUGCUUCAAAAUAAUUAUACGUGAUACAGCUCCACUAUGAACAAAAUUUAUCUGGUGCAGCUGCUUGUUGGUUGCUUUGCUCUGAUGACUAUGCCACAAGUUAUCGAAGGCGAGUUUGUGUGUGUUUGCAAAGACACAUGUGAUGACUGUUUCCCAGAGGACCAUGGCAAAUGUCCAGUGGGGGAGGGCGGACAAGGUCGUCAUUGUUGUCUCGAAUUAGGGCAGAUCGAUGAGUGAACGCAACGAUAUCGCCUCGACGACGUGUAAAGGAUUUCAUCAUUAUACUUUAUCCCUUCUUGUCUGUAUUGUGAAUGUAGUAAUAAACAAGCGA